rnacentral:tRNA from 1 species
AAGAUUGCGACCUCGAUGUUGGAUUAAAAUUUGAUUUUGGUGUAGAAGCUAAUAAUCUUA